rnacentral:rRNA from 1 species
AGGACAUGUGGACGGUAUGGGAGUGAGAAUGUUGGCAUGAGUAGCGAGAUGUGGGUGAGAAUCCCACAGGCCGUAAACCCAAGGUUUCCAGGGGAAGGUUCGUCCGCCCUGGGUUAGUCGGGACCUACGCUGAGGCCGAAAGGCGUAGGUGAUGGACAACAGGUUGAUAUUCCUGUACUACCGAUAACCGUUUGAGAGAAGGGAUGACACAGUAGGAUAAGCUAAGCACACUGUUGGUUAUGUGUGCCCAAGCAUUGAGGCAGUCAAAGUAGG